rnacentral:rRNA from 1 species
UAUCUCUGUAGAGUCUGCAUAUCAAUAAGCGGAGGAAAAGAAACUAACAAGGAUUCCCUUUGUAACGGCGAGUGAAGCGGGAAGAGCUCAAAUUUGAAAUCUUCAAGGUUCUACCUUGACGAAUUGUAGUUUAUAGAAGUGUUUUCUGUUAGUGGAGUGGCAAAAGUUCUUCGGAAUAGGACAUCAUAGAGGGUGAGAAUCCCGUAUUUGGUCAUUCCUCCUAGCGUUGUGAUACACUUUCAACGAGUCGGAUUGUUUGGGAACGCAGUCCAAAAUGGGUGGUAAAUUUCAUCUAAAGCUAAAUAUUGGCGAGAGACCGAUAGCGAACAAGUACCGUGAGGGAAAGAUGAAAAGAACUUUGAAAAGAGAGUUAAACAGUACGUGAAAUUGUCAAAAGGGAAGCGUUUGACACCAGUGUUGUUUUCUCGAAAAUCAAUUAAAAAAGAUUGGAUUUUGUGUUGUAUUGACUUUAUCAGCUUUCUGCACUCUUUUCUUGUCUUUUUUAAUGCACUUUUCGUUUAACAAGUCAACAUCAAUUUCUUUUGUUGUAAAAGGGUCAUUGGAAGGUGGCUUUCUUUUCGGAGAAAGUGUUUAUAGCCUUUGGCUUCUGCAAUCGGAGAGAUUGAGGUCUGCAGCGUAGAUCCUUCGGGGUUAGAUAGCAUUUGUGCUAAGUUAUAGCCUUUCAUAGACAACUUGUUGACUAUGAUCAGUCAUGUAGCUUACUCGCUUAUGUCUAUUUUACCUACGCUUAGGAUGUUGAGUAGCGACAUACGCAC